rnacentral:lncRNA from 1 species
UGAUAUUCUUAUUGGGCUAGUGUAACUCAUCCCUUAUUUAACCAUUUCAGAUUAAGAGGACCAGGAUCAAGAGCCCGAUUCACAAGAGGGUUGCGAAUAGAAUACCAGUUUUAUUUAUUUUCUGUUUAUUUCCUUAAUUUUUUUGUAUUUCCUUCAAAAUGGUAAUUUCCGUAGCACUAUUUAGUAUUUUAAGUUAUUGUGUAAGGAAUGUAAACUCUAACAAAUUAU